rnacentral:tRNA from 4 species
GCUUCUGUAGCUCAGUGGUAGAGCACUCCCUUGGUAAGGGAGAGGUCAUCGGUUCGAACCCGAUCAGAAGCUCCA